rnacentral:rRNA from 1 species
UGCAGUUAAACGCUCGUAGUUGGAGGUUUGUUGGGAGCCAAAGACCUUGCAGGCAAGGGAUCUUGGAACAGUCCAACAGAACAAUGGGGUAAGGUUUCUGGGCUUCGAUGCGUGUUACGAUCUCCAGUAUUUUUACUUUGAAGAAAAUGGUACGUUACAGGCAGGCACGCGUCCCGGACACAUUAGCAUGGAAUAAAUGCAAUAACUUCGGGGCGGUGUUGUUGGUUAUGGCGCCUGAAGAAUUGUAAUGAGGAUGGUUGAGGGCAUUCGUAUUUGACAAUCAGGGGUGAAAUUCUAGGACUUGUUAAAGGCGGACUUUUGCGAAAGCAUUUGUCAAGAAUGUUUUUGUUGAUCAAGAACAAUAGUCAGGGGAUCAAAGGUGAUUAGAUACCGCCGUAGUCCUAACCAUAAACUAUAUCCACUAGAAAUUGGAAUGACCCAAAGGGUGAUUUCGGCAACUCCAGAGAAGUCAAAGCUUUCGGAUUCCGGGGGGAGUAUGGUCGCAAGUCUGAAACUUAAAGGAAUUGACGGAAGGACACCACCAGGAGUGGAGCCUGCGGCUUAAUUUGACUCAACACGGGAAAUCUUACUAGACCUUGACAUCAACAGGAUUGACAGAUUGAUUGUUUUUUCAUAAUUUUAUGGGUGGUGGUGCAUGGCCGUUCUUAGUUGGUGGAGUGAUUUGUCUGGUUAAUUCUGUUAACGAACGAGAUCCCAAUCUACUAAAUAGCUUUUCGGUUUUCUAUUGAUUGAAAAACUUCUUAGAGGUACCUUUUGUGUACUACAGAAGGAAGGGUGAGGCAAUAACAGGUCUGUGAUGCCCUUAGAUAAUCUGGGAUGCA